GCACCCAUAGCUCAGCUGGAUAGAGCGCUGCCCUCCGAAGGCAGAGGUCAGAGGUUCGAAUCCUCUUGGGUGCACCA
rnacentral:tRNA from 3 species